rnacentral:rRNA from 1 species
UGGGGGAUAUUGCACAAUGGGCGAAAGCCUGAUGCAGCGACGCCGCGUGGGGGAUGAAGGCUUUCGGGUUGUAAACCUCUUUCGCUAUCGAACAAGGCCCGCUUAGGGUGGGUUGAGGGUAGGUGGAGAAGAAGCGCCGGCUAACUACGUGCCAGCAGCCGCGGUAAUACGUAGGGCGCGAGCGUUGUCCGGAAUUAUUGGGCGUAAAGGGCUUGUAGGCGGCUUGUUGCGCCUGCUGUGAAAACGCGGGGCUUAACUUCGCGCGUGCAGUGGGUACGGGCAGGCUUGAGUGUGGUAGGGGUGACUGGAAUUCCAGGUGUAGCGGUGGAAUGCGCAGAUAUCUGGAGGAACACCGAUGGCGAAGGCAGGUCACUGGGCCAUUACUGACGCUGAGGAGCGAAAACAUGGGUAGCGAACAGG